rnacentral:rRNA from 1 species
AUUGAACGCUGGCGGCAGGCCUAACACAUGCAAGUCGAACGAGUAGAGGACGGGUGAGUAAUGUAUUGGAAACUGCCUGAUGGAGGGAGAUAACUACUGGAAACGGUAGCUAAUACCGCAUAACAUCCGAUGUGCCCAGAGGGGUUUAGCUAGUAGUUGGGGUAAAGGCUCACCUAGGCGACGAUCCCUAGCUGGUCUGAGAGGCUGACCAGCCACACUGGAACUGAGACACGGUCCAGACUCCUACGGGAGGCAGCAGUGGGGAAUAUUGCACAAUGGGCGCAAGCCUGAUGCAGCCAUGCCGCGUGUGUGAAGAAGGCUUUCGGGUUGUAAAGUACUUUCAGCGGGGAGGCGUUACCCGCAGAAGAAGCACCGGCUAACUCCGUGCCAGCCGCCGCGGUAAUUC